GAACCCUUGGCACAGUGGUAGCGCGUGAGAUUCCAGCCUUCGGUGCAUGGGAGUUCCUCAAGGUCGUCCGUUCAAUCCGGGCAGGGUUCA